rnacentral:rRNA from 1 species
CUCUAUGACCAUACCACCCUGAACGCACCAGAUCUCAUCUGAUGUUGGAAGCUAAGCAUGGUCUGGCCUGGUUAGUACUUGGAUGGGAGAAUAGGUAAACUGCCUUGC